UUACAGUCAUAUCACUUUGAAACGCCGAUUCUCGUACGAUCACAAAAGUUAAGCAACGUCGAGCCUGAUCAGUGCCUAGAUGGGUGACCGCUUGGGAAUAUCAAGUGCUGCAAG